UUGACCUCGGAUCAGGUAGGGAUACCCGCUGAACUUAAGCAUAUCAAUAAGCGGAGGAAAAGAAACCAACCGGGAUUGCCCCAGUAACGGCGAGUGAAGCGGCAAGAGCUCAAAUUUGAAAUCUGGCCCCUCCGGGGUCCGAGUUGUAAUUUGCAGAGGAUGCUUCGGGUGCGGCCCCUGUCUAAGUGCCCUGGAACGGGCCGUCAGAGAGGGUGAGA
rnacentral:rRNA from 1 species